rnacentral:tRNA from 1 species
GCCCUCGUAGCUCAGCAGGAUAGAGCACCGCUCUCCUAAAGCGGGUGUCGGCCGUUCGAAUCGGCUCGGGGGCACCA